UCCGCCGCGCCCCCCGGCCGCCGCCCGGCUCAGGACACCGCUGUUCGUCCAUCCGUCCGUCCGUCCGUCCGUCGGUUCGCCCCCCCCCACACGCGUCCGCUUCCGCAGCGUGUACGGGAGCAGUGGCUCGGUACGGUGGGAGGCUGUCAGCUCCCAAACCCGGGUCUCAGGAGCCCGGGGUGCGCUUAACAAGCCCCUAAAUUGCGUUUUAAAGCUUUUCCCGGCGGUGGCGGCUGCAAAGCCGGUUGGAACGGAAGACGCAGCUCAAGCAAGGGAAAGGUGGCCAAGAGGCAUCCCGUUACUCAAGGGUCGGCUCUUCUGGAAAAGGGUCGGGCAUUGUGCAAAUGUCGCCGAACUGCAAGGGCUUGCAUCGAGAGUUUGUGUAGUCGCUGAUAAGUAAAGACAAGAGAAGAGCCAAAAUAAUUAGAAUGAUGUUUCCCACUCCCGUUACGUUUCUCCCUGAGAUUAAAAUUCUGACAAAUUGUCCUGAGCUUCUAAAGUUUUCAAAGAAAAAAUUAACCAUGCUUUUUCAAAGAAAAAUGAAUAAAGUAAAAGGUGGACAUGCAAAAUGAAGAAGUACAUGGAGACUCCACACCAGGAGUAUGAACAGUCGCAGAACUACUUGCUGCAGGAUGUGCGCACACCGAAGUGUGGGUGGGCUGGGUAAUGGCUGGGUGAGUGAAUGGCAAAAAAAUACUUGAGGGCAGUGGAGUACAAAGGCAGUGUGCCUGACCCAGAAUGUUCCUGAACCACGAACUCCCGGGAGCCAGGGGUGUUUUGGGGGCGAAUCACUGAACAGUUGACUAUUCCUGCUGUCCGCCUUAGAAGGGACUGUUAGCUGUUGCUGGUAACCCCAUAUGCUGGGCUAAACGGACCCGGGGCUGAGGUCUUCAUUCUGAUACUGCCUGUCUUGAGUGGUGUGGUACUGGGUCUGUGCUCACAGAAUUUAACCGACUCACAAAGCCCCAGGUACUGCUGCUUGGUGGCUAGAAGAAAAGAAGAGAGAGAGCCGAUUGGAUUUUGUAACAUAAUAUGAAGCAUGACGCUGCCAAAUGGCUCGGUUCCACGUAAAAGUAGCACCAGGUGAGCAGGCUCUCAUCAGCCUCCUCACCAUGCCAGCAUUCAGGCCAGGGUCCUGCUGCAGGGUGGUGAGAAAUGCAGAAAGACACAGACUGCCGGACCCUUGGGCGAUGCAGGCAUAAGGGCAGAGCGGGCACGAUGCGCUGGCUUGCCUGUAUGAGGCAGGUCACCACCUGAUGUUUAAUGGACUGCUGGCACGGCAGAGGCCACAGGCUGAGAAACACCUGACAGUGACCAUUACUGCAGAUGAGAUGCUGGGUCAGGCAGGACUUUGAUUGGACCAAAAUGGCAAUUCAGAUGUUCUCAAGGCAAUUUGAGAACGGAAGAAAAACAGGCUUCCAGGCCGUAUGCCAUCAUUUACCAGCAUGGCUCAGCAUCCCGACAGUUCCGUGGGGCCGACUUGUAAGAAAUGUGGAAUAACUGAGAUGAACAACU